rnacentral:rRNA from 1 species
UACGUAGGGUGCAAGCGUUGUCCGGAAUUAUUGGGCGUAAAGGGCUCGUAGGCGGUCCAUCGCGUCGGGAGUGAAAAGCUGGGGCUUAACCCCAGUCCUGCUUCCGAUACGGGUGGACUAGAGGUAGGUAGGGGAGAUCGGAAUUCCUGGUGUAGCGGUGAAAUGCGUAGAUAUCAGGAGGAACACCAACGGCGAAGGCAGCUUGCUGGGACGGUACUGACGCUGAGAUGCGAAAGCGUGGGGAGCAAACAGG